rnacentral:lncRNA from 1 species
CUUUAUUUGGAUAGUGUGGACAUUUCAACUCAAAGUGCUAAAUGGUGUGAAACCACAUCUCUUGUACUUCCAAACCUGCAUGUGUUGAGUCUGUCAAGCUGUGGUUUGAAAGGUCCAUUAUGUUCUUCUCUCUCAAGACUCUCUUUUCUUUCCAAACUUAUCCUUGAUGGGAACCCAAUCUCUUAUUUACCUCCCAAUUUCUUGGAAACUUCCUCUCGUUUGGUUUCUCUCAGUUUGAGUGGUUGCAAUUUGAAUGGCCAUUUUCCAACCGGAAUUCUCUUAUCGCCAAAAAUUCAAAGCAUUGACAUUUCAUUUAAUCCCCAACUUAUGGGUCAGUUGCCAGAAUUUCCAGCAAACAAUGCAUUACUGAGUCUGUCACUUUAUCAUACAAAUUUCAGUGGAAAACUACCUGAAUCGAUUGGUAAUCUUAAGUUCCUGAAAAAUUUAGAGCUUUCUUAUUGCAAUUUUUUUGGACCUAUUCCAUCAUCAAUUGCAAAUCUUAGUCACCUGGUCAACCUACUUCUAGCAGGGAACAAGCUUUCUGGAUCAAUACAUUCUUCUUUAUUUACUCUUCCAUCGUUGAAGAACCUGUAUCUUGGAGCCAAUCAAUUGGUUGGGAAAAUUGAUGAGUUCCCCAAUGCAUCUUCUUCUUCGAUUGAGAGAUUAUAUAUUAGCUAUAAUUAUUUAACAGGACCAAUCCCAAAGUCAAUCCUCCAACUUCCAAGGCUUGAAGUGCUUGAGAUCGGAGAAAAUAGCUUCAGUUCCCUGAAGCUUGACAUGUUUGUCCAACUCAAGAACUUAAAGGGUCUCGACUUAUCCAACGUAAGCUUGUUAAUUGAAAGCGACAACAGAAGUCUUACUUUUCCCCAAUUAGAGAGCCUAAGCCUAAGGUUAUGCAAUCUUACUGAAUUUCCAGAAUUCAUUAAAAGGCAAGGCAAGUUGGUUGACUUAGAUCUUUCUAACAAUCAUAUCCAUGGUGUUGUGCCUAAUUGGUUGUGGAAGAGCAGUCUUUCAUCCUUAGACCUUUCUUUCAAUGUGAUUGAUUUUCCAAAACAACUUCCUUUAAGUGAUGCAAACUUCUUUUUCCCAAUGUUGAGGCGAUUGUGUUUGAGGUCCUGUAACAUAAGUGCGUUUCCAGAGUUCUUAAAGAGUCAAGAAAAUUUAGAAUAUCUCGAACUUUCAAAUAAUAAAAUAAGUGGUGCAAUACCAAACUGGGUGUGGAAGAAAAGUUUGCGGUAUCUGUUUCUUGCUAAUAACCAUCUCUCAUCUUUGGACCAACUUUUACCCAAUCAGAGUUCAACUUCUUCACAGGGCUCUUUCAUUUUCGACACAUCUUCUAACAAUUUGAGUGGCCCAAUUCCAAAUUGGUUAUGCAAUAUGAGUCAACUUUACAGAUUCAAUGCAUCUUAUAACAAUUUUAGUGGCUCAAUUCCAAAUUGCUUGGACAAUAUGAGCCAACUUGACACUGUCGAUGUAUCUUAUAACAAUUUGAGUGGCCCAAUUCCAAAUUGCUUGGGCAAUAUGAGUGCUCUGAUGUGGUUGGGUUUGCAAGGAAAUAACUUCAGUGGAAUGAUACCAAAAUUUUCAAAAGCAACCCAACUGCGGUUUCUCAAAGUUAGUGAGAAUAGAUUGGAAGGGAAGUUGCCCAGAUCAUUAGCUGAAUGCACUCAGCUUGAAGUUUUGGACGUGGGAAACAACAAGAUGAAUGAUACAUUCCCUUUUUGGUUGGAGAAAUUGCCUUACUUGACGGUUCUAAUAUUGCGGGAAAACAGAUUUUAUGGUCAAAUUAAACAUUUCAAACAUAAAUCUGUUUUCCCAACUUUGGAUGUAUUGGACAUUGCUUCAAACCAGUUUUCUGGUGAACUAUCCAUUGAUUUCCUUCAACCCACUAGACUAAGGUCACUCAAAAUAGGUGGGAAUAAAUUGGAAGGGAAGCUGUCGAGAUCAUUAGCCAAUUGCACAGCACUUGAGGUUCUGGACCUUGGAAAUAAUAUGGUUCAUGAUACAUUCCCAUUUUGGUUAGAGAAGCUACCUUCCUUGAAGGUUCUCAUUUUGCGAGCAAACAGAUUCUACGGCACAAUUACAGAAUUCAACACAGAACGUGGGUUUCCAAAGCUACGCAUUUUGGACAUUGGUUCCAACAAAUUUUCAGGCGACUUGUCCGUUGAAUUUUUGCAAAGCUUGAAGGCAAUGAUGCAGAUAACAAAUGAGGAUAAAGCUAAGCGGGUUUACAUUGGGGACGACUAUUAUCAAGACUCUGUGACAAUUGUUAACAGAGGGAUUGAAAUGUUCUACCAAAGAGUCUUGACAAUUCUUACUUGUCUUGACCUUUCCAACAAUAGUUUCCAUGGGAGAAUACCAGAAGAAAUACAAAUGCUGAGGUCACUCAGAGUGAUGAACUUAUCCAACAAUGGCUUCUCUAGUGAAAUCCCAUUAGCACUUCAAAAUCUAAAAGACCUCGAAUCUUUGGAUCUCUCAAGAAACAAGCUGUCAGGGAAGAUUCCUCCACAACUUACAAGUCUAACUUUCCUGGCAGCAUUGAACUUGUCAUACAACCAACUUGAAGGGAGCAUACCACAAAGCAACCAAUUCAUUACAUUUACAAAUGAUUCCUACCGUGGGAACCCAAAAUUGUGUGGGCUGCCAUUGUCAAGGAAAUGCAAUGAAGUUGGUCUUCCAAUGCCACCACCUCCAGUGGAAGAUGAAGAUUCAUGGUUAAAUGCUCUGUCUACUUGGAAAAUUGCAUUGAUAGGUUAUGCUAGCGGAUUAGUCGUUGGGCUAUGUAUUGGAUAUACAGUGCUGAAUGAGUUGGGAAACAAAUGGGUUUACAAGUUCAAGUGUGGGAAAAGAAAUAGAAGAAGAUGUAGGUGACUCCAUCAGAAUUCUUGCUUCAAAAUUAGCUGGUAAGCAUUUGUCUUUCUACUUUGAACUGAUAGUUGUUGAUAUAUAUAUAUAUAGGUUUUCAUAACCUCAUUUUUUGCUGUCAUUACCAAGUUCACUAUCAUAUCGUACUUGUAAUUUUAUGUUACCAUUGAGCAAUGCAGGAGGUACUUGAAGCAGGACAUGGAAUGUACAGUUGUGAGGUUCAUGAAGAAUGUAGGCAAUGAUCCUAACAAGAUCAAUCCACUGGUUUGUAAUUUUGCUUUAUAUGCACUUUUUUCCUGUUGUAGUUUUCUAUGAGUAUAAAUAAGUGUUUAUUCAUUUUGCAUCCAGGUCCCUGUGGAUUUGGGGGAUGCAAUGUUUCACUGCUACUGAAUUUCCAAGCUAAUAAUGAUAUUAUAAACAGGGAAAUGGCUGCCCAAGCUUUCUUUUAUAUGCAAUUUACUUCAAUUUUUUUAUCUUUAGAAUAUUUGUACAGCUGAGGAGAUUUGAUGGCAUGAUGUUGAUGAAAGCCAUAUCUGAUGGACAUUGGACUGAUUGUGUAAAGAGACGCAGAUGCUGCUACUCCCAUCCUUUGCUCUUCCAAACAGACGUGAGUUUUAUAUUUUAUGAAUCACGUGUUGGGCUUUAGGACCGGGUGUAAAGGGUGGACCUGUUGGUCCGGGUUUUAGUUCAGCCCGUCACUUAUUUUUAUACUAGUUUAUUUAUACUUUCAAUGAUAGUUUUAUUAAUUUAAAAAAUAUGGUUGAAUUAAGUAAUAAUAUGAUAAAAUAAUAAUAAUUAAAAUUUAAUGAAAUAAAUUAUGUCUUAACUUUCCAAUGUUAGCGAAAGGCCAACAAUAUCUCACCUUAUUAUUUUCUUUGUUAAUCCAAAAUUAAAAAGUUCAAAUUAGAAUGUGAUUUAGAGUUUGAAGACUUAAUUAAAUUUUUUUGAAGUUUAGAGUUCAAUUUAACAUAUAAUCCAUAGUUUAGGGACAUCAAGUGAAUUAACCCUUUGAUAAAUCCUAACAUAUUCAUAAGUUGCAUACUCAUUAAUAAAUUAGGACUAAAAUGCUUAUUGGUAAAUUGAUUUCACAUAUAAGUUAAUAUAUUUUUGGGUGCUAUACCAAAGUUUAAUUAAAAGAUUUUAAUGGUACACUUUUACAUUUUAAAAAUUUAAAUUAUAUAUAAACAAUUAUGAUAUAAAAUCGAGACGGCCCACAUCUAAAAUAUUUUAAGCAUCAAAUACAUGAAAAAAAAAAUUCUAAACCCAAAUAUUUUAAGCAUUCGAAACAUUGGCAUUGGCAUCAAUUAGAACACUUGGAUUGGAUAAUGAAAAAAAAAAAAUCCAAACCCAUCUAUUUAACAACGGUAUGUUUAUUAUAUGAUUUUCAAUACAAAAUCAGAUAAUUAAUCGGACACUGUUGAGUUAACUAAUACUUACAAUGUUCAAUUAAAUGAUUUUUUCCAAAAAAAAUUAAUUGUUUAUAUUUCGAAUCCAAUUCAACCAAUAAAAAGCCAGUUAUAUUUGAAUGCGAAUGCAAAGCAGUGGAUAUAACGUAAGGGACUCAAUCCAAUUUGGCAUUCUAAAUGAUGUCUUAAUUACAAUGUGGUACGCUUUCCAGAGUUGGCAAACAACCUAAAGCACUUGUUUAAUUUAUCUUUGAAAAGUGAUAAAAAUAUUAAUAACUAAAAUUAAAAAACUGCAAGAACCAUUAUCUUUCACAAAUUAUUCAAAAUCAUAUGGUAUUUGUAGUCGUUGGCUUAUAUUUUGAAAAGAUUGAUGUUACAAACUAACUCUGAAUUUCCUAAGCUUAUUUUUUGUCCCUUGACACACUUCGCUAUCAUAUGGUAUUUGUAGUCGUAGGCUUGUAGCAUUGACAUUCAUUUUAUCAUUUCGCAAUGCAAGAGGUACUGAAACAGGCUAAGCUGAAACGGCUCAUUAGGUUUGCUACUCCAAAAGACUCUUCGAAAAGAGCAAUGAAAGAAGCGACAAAAGGGUCCUUGGCUGUUUGUGAUGAUGCACUUACAUAUACUCACUUCUAUACGAUUCAUGUAAAUCCUUUCUAUAACUUAUUUCCUAGGAAGCAUUCCUCUAUUAGAGCAACUAAUCCAUAAUUCUUAAAUCCAGAUACUGUAAUUGGUUUUUUUUUUUUUUCUCUCGAUUUUGUAGCAGGGGCCAAACUCCCCAAUGUCUUGGCUACCAAUCUUCUUUAAUUUAAUCGAACUCAUUUAUGGUAAGGAUGAGUUUUGGAAUGCUCUAUGAAUAUUGUGAGUUGAACAUGAGCAGCAUACUUGAUAUGCAAAAUCUAAUAUCAAGAAUCUCCCUUGUGAGGUUCAUUUUUGCUUCAAUUCACAGCCAUUUGGGGUACGUAAUUUGUCUCUAGCACUGAACUUUCAUGCCAAAUAAUGCUAUAUUAUAAACAAGGAUCAUGGCUUUUCCAAGCCUUCUUUAAUAUGAAUUUACUCUUUAGUUCAGAAUUUUAUUUUCAAAUUAUUUUUGUGCAGCUUGGAAGAUAAUAUGACGAGUUGAUGUUGAUGAAAGCCACAUUUAACACCGUGAUUCUGCAAAGAGACACCACUGCUAGAUGUGCCUCUUUGAAACAGGACAAGCUCAAGCAAAGAUCGUUAACUUUAUCUUUGAAAACAAUGGUAAAAGUUUCUAACUAAUUAUCUUUUCCUUGACAUCUUCUUUAAUCAUGCUUGAAUUAAGUUUAAGCAUAUGAAAGACAUGAUUGUUGGUAGAUAAAUGAGAAGCUUCAUGUUCUAAUUUUCAGGCUAAUGGUCUAAGAAGACAGUAAGGCGUGUUGAUUGCAGUUUGUUAUCUAUUCUAUGGAAAAGAAAACGUGCAUUGCCAACAUAAAGUACAGAAAGGAUAUGCAUAAGGUGCAAAGGCUUAUCACCGAAGCAAGUCUACAGCUUGUUUAAGGCGGCUCAUGUUCUCUUACAUGUAAUUUGCAUGAAAUCUUAUUAUCUUAGGAUUAUACUGGAGUGCCACCAGCAGUUGACCUCACUAGCAUGUGAGACACUGUUAAGAAUCUUGACAAUGAUCUUAACAAGAUUAUUCCACUAGUUUGUAAUUUUCCCUCUAUAUUUUACCAGUAGUAUAUAACUUAUUUACUUCUAUAUCUUGCAAUUUAUGCAGCCCCCGAGCAUGGUAUAGCUUGGUGUUGGUAGAUUCACAUUGUCCAAGAACUUACAAGAUGUUGAGAAAGCAUAGUGUUGGCAAAAUUUUUGAGUUUUAUGGUUAAGUCUAUGAUCAUAAAUCUUAAGAAUAGAAUGAUUUUACUAUAAAAAAUUUCAGGUUUAUAGGACUUUAUCAUCAAUGUAACUAUUUUUAAUGUGGUUAUAGGAGAGGGUGUGGCUGAAUUAUCAUUAGCUAAUCAUGGUCGAGCCAUAGUUGCAGACAUGGGACCUGAAUAAUGUGCAACCAUGGGUUGUCUUUCCUGUGGAUCAUACAGCCUUGCAAUUCCUUAAUUUAACCAGCAGGAGUGGUGACACAGUUCAUUCUCCGUCCAUUUUAUGCGUGGUGAUGACUCCAACAAGGUUUUAUGUUAUUAUUGCUACUAUUUUGUCUUUUUAAUAAUUUAGAUAUAAGAACAUUUUCAUAUAUAUAUAGAAUAAGGAUGAGACAGAAGGACUAAAAUACUGGCAUCAAUAACAACACUAAGACCAAUAAAAUCUCAUAUUUCAAAAUUAGAAUUGAAAAAAAAUAUAAAAGAUUGAAGAUGCAAAGCAAAUAAAUUAAGUGUGAAUUGAAAACCUUAAUGCUAAGACUAAGAAUAAAUAAUUCAUCCCUUAAGACUAAUAGCUUCAUCAUCAUCCUUUGCUGCGAUAUGACUCUGGCUUGAAUUUAAAGAAGCAAAUAUGAAGUACUCAUCAUGCGAGAGAAAAUUACUUAGCUAAGAGAAGAAAUCAUUUACUUCAACCAAACUAUCCCCGGUAGAAAUAAAAGCCAAAAGAAUUAGAUUCAUUCAAAACAAAAAAUUGUAGGGAUUAGUUUUAUAAUUUUACUUAAAUUUUCAUUUCAUCAGGAGGACGUGGGUUCGAAUAUGUUGAAGUGCAUUAUGCUCCUAUUUAUGGGUUGGGGAGAGACUAAGCGUAGUUUUAGGCAUUGUAUCAAAAAAAAAAGAUUUGAUCAGAACCUAUAAUGUGAAAAGUUGUUACUAAAAAGUUUAAAAAAUAGAAUUUUUAGUUUCCUUUUGUUUAUUUAUUAUUUUUUUCAUAAUAUCUUUUAUCUAUAUUUGAAGUGUUUUGGGUUUAAUUUUUAAUCAUUAUAAUCAAAAACCCAAUUUUGUACUAAUAAAGCACACCAUUGUUAGUUUUUAGUGUUAUUUUUGAGGUAUUAUAUAUUUGUAUUUGACCUAUGUUUAUAAUGGUGAUCAGACCCGUUUUUAAUAUUUUUGAGACCCUAGGCGAAACAAUAAAUCGGGGUCUUGUUUAAAAAAUUAUUAAAUGUAAUACAAAAAAAUGAACCUUUUUUAUUUUAUAUUUUUUCUGCCUGCAAUAAAUCAAAAGACUAAAAAAGUUAAAAAAAUUUCACGUUAAAAAUUAAAAAAAGAAACUUUUUGCCCUAAAGUUGGGCUGACGGAGACUAGAAAACAACCCAACAAAUUCCAAUAAAAUCUCAUACUACAAAAUUGGAAUUAACAAAUGGAAAAACAAAAAGACAUUGGUAAAGCAAAAUAAGUGUGAAACAUGAACAAAUUGACAUGAAGACUAAGAAGAGAGUAUGAAAAAUUUUAAAAUUGUAAUUUAGGAUGACUUUAAAAUAUGGGGAAGAUUCAUGAAAAUUAAAUGGGCCUGAAAUCAAUGAUUUUGCAGUUUCUCUUUGUUGAUUUGGUGGAUGUUUCCCACUACUUUUAAUGGUUCCAAUUAUAUACUUGGAAAUUGGAAUUACUUUUGCCACUCAUUUCUCAUGUUGGUUUGGCCAAUAAAAGAUUAUUUGCAUAAAGCAACAAUGCGGCAAUAGGCUGCAAUAUUUCCACAUGCCUCUCAAACUUUUUACUCCAAUUUUAAGGAUUUUUUUUAUUUUUUAAAAAUUAACAUAUUUUUCUACCUUUCUUCUUUCUCUUCUCAUCCUCUCUUUCUCAAUCUCACCUCCCCAAAAAAUGCAAAAUAAAAAAAAUUAUUUUAAUUUUUAAAAAAUAUAAAUUUUGGAAUUUUUAUGAAUUUUUUGAAUUUUUUGAAAAGUAUUUUAAAUUAUUUUGUAAUUUUUGUUGAGAGAUAUCAAUUUGUUAAAUUUUAAAAUUGACAAUGACCAAAGGAGCAUGUACACCAAUUUAUUGUAUGAAUUGUUCGGGUUAUUUAAAUUAUAAAAUUCAACUCGAAAAUCAAAUUAUAAAUAUUUUUAAUAUUAUAAAACAUAAAAAUAUUAAGAUUAAAUAAUAAUAUAGAAAAGGAAUUUUUUUUCUCCAAAUUUCUCAUCCAAAUACAGUCUAAGAAAGCUUGAAAGCUGAAAUUUAAAAAUAUUAUUAUCUUAACUCGAUUUAAAAUUUUUUUGAGUCAAGUCGAGUGCAAAGAAAUUAGAGUUGAAUUGAAUCGAGUGAAAUUGUUUGAGUUAAACUAAAAAUUUUAAUAUGUCAAAUUGAAAUAUUUUUAUGGUAUAAUUAAUUUUAUGUUAGAGCACAUAAAUUUGAAACCAUAUAUAUAUAUUUGAAAACUUUUGUUGAAAAUUUUUAAUAAUAUAAACUCGAAACUUGAAUUAUAAAAAUAUUUAAUAAUAUAAAACAUAAAAAAUAUUAAAAUUAAAUAAUAAUAUAGAAAUAAAAAUUUUUCUUCAAAUUUCUCAUCCAAAUACAGUCUAGAAAAGUUUUAAAGAUGAAAUUUAAAUAUGUUUGUUUCAAAAGUGGAAAAUUCUAUAUAUUGAAUCAUCAAAAUUUUCACUUAUUGUGUUCAUCAAUCCAGCGAAGACUUAACUUGUACACAUUUCUUUGAUAAAUUAUAACUUAUUUACAAAUUCGAUACUCAUUAACAAAUUGAUAUUAUAUUUUAAGUUAAAUUAUUUUAAAUUAUUUUGUAAUUUUUGUUGAGAGAUAUCAAUUUGUUAAUUUUUAAAAUUAAUAGGGACUAAAGGAGUAUGUAUAUCAAUUUGUUGUUUGAAUUAUUUGUGUUUUUCAUCAUAAAAUUCAACUCGAAACUGGAAUUGUAAACAUAAAGAGAGCCUAAGCCUAAGGUCAUGCAAUCUUACUGAAUUUCCAGAAUUCAUUAAAAGGCAACCCAAGUUGGUUGACUUAGAUCUUUCUAAUAACCAUAUCCAUGGUUUUGUGCCCAAUUGGUUGUGGAAGAGCAGUCUUUCAUGGGUAGACCUUUCUUUCAAUGUGAUUGAUUUUCCAAAACAGCUUCCCUUAAAUGAUGCAAACUUCUCAUUUCCAAUGUUGGCAGACUUGGAUUUGAGAUCCUGCAACAUAAGUGCGUUUCCAGAGUUCAUCAAAACACAAGACAAGUUGGUUGACUUAGAUCUUUCUAACAAUCAUAUCCAUGGUGUUGUGCCUAAUUGGUUCUGGAAGAGCAGCCUUUCAAGGGUAAACCUUUCUUUCAAUGUGAUUGAUUUUCCAAAACAACUUCCCUUAAAUGAUGCAAACUUCUUAUUUCCAAUGUUGACAGGAUUGGAUUUGAGAUCCUGUAACAUAAGUGCGUUUCCAGAGUUCUUAAAGAGUCAAAAAAAUUUAGAAGAAUUCGACGCAUCUUAUAACAAUUUGAGUGGCCCAAUUCCAAAUUGGUUAUGCAAUAUGAGUCUACUUUACACUUUCGAUGCAUCUUAUAACAAUUUGAGUGGCUCAAUUCCAAAUUGCUUGGUCAAUAUGAGUCAACUUGAAACUUUCGAUGUAUCUUAUAACAAUUUGAGUGGCCCAAUUCCAAAUUGCUUGGGCAAUAUGAGUGCUCUGAUUUUGUUGGGUUUGCAAGGAAAUAACUUCAGUGGAAUGUUACCAAAAUUUUCAACAGCAACCCAACUGCAAUUUCUGAAAGUUAGUGAGAAUAGAUUGGAAGGGAAAGCAAAGGCACGGCGGUGGUCACGCUGGUCGUGGUGGCGCGACGGCGAUCAGGGCCCUUUCGCUGCUGCUUUCUUGACCCUUUUUUUGCUUCUUUUUUUUUGCGAAAAAAACUGAAACCCCCCCUUCUCUUCAAUUUUUCUUUUUAAUCCCUCCAAAAUUGUCUUCUUCCUCUUUGUUUUUAGGUGACAGGGGAAGAAAAUCAUGGCCUAGGGAGCUGCCGGAGUAGCUGGAAGUGGCAGGAGCAUGCUUGGAUGCCGAUUGGGUGAUUUGACAAGUCCAGAAGGACCAAAAUGUAGAAGACACAAAAUAUUUGGGGUAAAAAUGUGAUUUGGGGAAAAUAUAGGGCCAAGAUGUAAUUUUUUGAAAUUUUAAGGGUCAAAGUGUAAUUUACAAAAUAUUAGGGGUCAAUAUAUAAUUUUUGAAAAAUUUAGGGGCUAAAAUGUAAUUUAUUUUUUUGUAUUUUUUCAAAGUUUUAUUAUUACUAUUAAUAUUUAAAACAUAAAUUAAAAAUGGACUAAGACAAUUCCAAUAUUAAAUCCUAAUGGGCCCAAUCAUUGGGCCCAUACGAGGCCGACCCGGCCCAAAAUUCUAACCGGGCAAAAUUUAGUGAUUACAGUUAUUUUUGUGCAAUCAAAAUUUGGACAUUUGCAUGCAAUGCCAAAGACUUAAGAUAUUUCAUACUAUCAUUUUUCCCGAUCCAAAGUUAAAGAUAUUAAAAAUUUUAAAUUAGAAUGUUAUUUAUAAUUUGAGAAUUUGAGAUAGAAGGUGAAUUAACACUUUGAUAAAUCAUAACAUAUUUAUAAGAUGGAUACUCAUUAACAAGUUGAUUUUAUAUUAUAAGUUAAAUUUUAUUUUUUUUGGUGUUAUAACAAAAUUACCUUAGAAGAUUACAUUGUAAUUUUUUUAUUUUAAAAAAUGAUGUAGAAAUAAUUAUGUAUAACAUAAAAAAUGAUAAAGUUUGGCCAAGUUUAAAAUAUUUGUAACAUAAUUUUUUCUACAAAGUCCAUACUUAAUAUAUAUAAUUUAAACUUAAAAUCUCGGUUGAAGUAUUAUCUUUGCUUAUUUUAUACGUAGUGACGGUUCCAAUAAGAUUUAAAGUACAUUAUUAUUACUAUAAAUUUGUCUUUUUUAAUGACUUAGAUAUAGAAGAUUAUUUAUAUAGACUAAGGAGUGGGCAAGAAAACUAAAACCUCGGCAUUAAUAAGAAAAAUGACAUCAAUAAUAUAUUAAAAUCUCAUUCUUCAAAAUCAAUAAUAUAUUAUUCUUUAAUAAUAUAUUAAAACGCAAAUUAAAUGUGAAUUUAACAACUUAUUUCUAAUACUAACAACAAAUAAUUUAUGCUAUAAAUUAUUUAUUAUUAGUAUUAUUAUUAUUAUCCCUUGCUGGAAAAGGUUAACCAAAAAGACUUAGCUAAAGUGGUGGAACAUUAUUUUGAUGCAGUAUUGACUGGGCAAAAAGACUUGGAAAUUGCGUGCUAUGCCAAACAUGAAAACUACACAUUUGUGUAUAAAUAAGUUGUAUGCCAAGCACAAUCCUUCUUCACACCCAACAAACAUGAACACUCUUCAUUUCCUUAUUUCACUCUUCCUCUUCUCAUGCGUCCUUUCUCUUGUCAUGUCUUUUUCACCUCCUCAAACUCAUCUCCCUAAGCAAUGCCUUGAUGAUCAGAGAGCUCCUCUCCUGCAAUUGCAGCGUCAUCUUUACUGUGCCCCUAAUUUUACUUUCUCUUCCAAAUUUGACCUCUGGGAUGUCAACACUGAUUGUUGUUCUUGGGAAGGAGUCACUUGUGAUGCUUAUGGUCAUGUCGUUGGCAUUGAUCUUAGCAAUAAAAACCUUUCAGGCAGGUUUCACCCCAUAUUCAAUCUCCAUCGUCUUCAACACCUUAAUCUUGCUGGAAACAACUUUAAUACCACUAUGUUUUCCCAUGGGUUUCACAAACUCCAAAAUCUAACCCAUCUCAAUCUUUCAAGCUCAUGUUUCCAUGGCCAAAUUCCAGUGGAGAUCUCAUACUUAACGAGGUUAGUGUCUCUUGAUCUAUCUAAUCAAGGUUCUUGUUAUUUGCGAUACUACGCCAUUCUUGACCCAUAUAGAGGCGUCUACACCUACAAUGAUCCAUUGCCUUACGAACUUCAACAGCCUCUUAAAUUAGAGAAUCCAAACUUCAAGACAUUAAUCAAGAAUUUGAGGUUUCUCACAGAGCUUUAUUUGGAUGGGGUAAACAUUUCAACUCAAAGUGCUAAAUGGUGUGAAACCACAUCUCUUGUACUUUCCAACCUGCGUGUGUUGAGUCUGUCAAACUGUGGUUUGAAAGGUCCAUUAUGUUCUUCACUCUCAAGACUCUCUUUUCUUUCCAAACUUAUCCUUGAUGGGAACCCAAUCUCUUAUUUACCUCCCAAUUUCUUGGAAAUUUCCUCUCGUUUGGUUUCUCUCAGUUUGAGGAACUGCUAUUUGAGUGGCCAUUUUCCAACUGAAAUUCUCUUAUCGCCAAAAAUUCAAAGCAUUGACAUUUCAUUGAACCACCAACUUAUGGGUCAGUUGCCAGAAUUUCCAGCAAACAAUGCAUUACUGAGUCUGUCACUUUAUUUUACAAAUUUCAGUGGAAAACUGCCUGAAUCGAUUGGUAAUCUUAAGUUCCUGACAAAUUUAGAGCUUUCUUAUUGCAAUUUUUUUGGACCUAUUCCAUCGUCAAUUACGAAUCUUAGUCACCUGGUCAACCUAUAUCUGGGAGGGAACAUGCUUUCUGGAUCAAUACAUUCUUCUUUAUUCACUCUUCCAUCAUUAAAGACCCUGUCUCUUGGAGAAAAUCACUUGGUUGGGAAAAUUGAUGAGUUCCCCAAUGCAUCUUCUUCUUUGAUUCAAGAACUAUAUAUAGGCAAUAAUUAUUUAACAGGACCAAUCCCAAAGUCAAUCCUUCAACUUCCAAGGCUUGAAUGGCUUUAUAUUGAAAGCAAUAGCUUCAGUUCCAUGAAGCUUGACAUGUUUGUCCAACUCAAGAACUUGAGGUAUCUGACUCUGUUCAACACAAGCUUGUUAAUUGAAAGCGACAGCAGAAGUCUUCCUUUUCCACAAUUAGAGAGCCUAACCCUAAGGUCAUGCAACCUUACUGAAUUUCCAGAAUUCAUUAAAAGGCAAGACAAGUUGGUUGACCUCGAUCUUUCUAACAGCCAUAUCCAUGGUUUUGUGCCCAAUUGGUUGUGGAAGAGCAGUCUUUCAUGGGUAGACCUUUCUUUCAAUGUGAUUGAUUUUCCAAAACAGCUUCCCUUGAAUGAUGCAAACUUCUCAUUUCCAAUGUUGAAAGAAUUGCGUUUGAGAUCCUGUAACAUAAGUGCGUUUCCAGAGUUCAUCAAAACACAAGACAAGUUAGUUGUGUUAGAUCUUUCUAACAACCAUAUCCAUGGUGUUGUGCCUAAUUGGUUGUGGAAUAGCUCUCUUUCAGGGGCAAACCUUUCUUUCAAUGUGAUUGAUUUUCCAAAACAGCUUCCCUUAAGUGAUUUAAACUUCUCUUUUUCAAUGUUGAGGGAAUUGUAUCUGGAAUCUUGUAACAUAAGAUCAUUUCCAGAGUUCUUAAAGAGUCAAGAAAAUUUAGAAUAUCUCGAUCUUUCAAAUAAUAAAAUAAGUGGUGCAAGUCCAAACUGGGUGUGGAAGAAAAGUUUGCGGUAUCUGUUUCUUGCAAAUAACCAUCUCUCAUCUUUGGACCAACUUUUACCCAAUCAGAGUUCAACUUCUUCACAAGACUCUUUCUAUUUCGACGCAUCUUAUAACAAUUUGAGUGGCCCAAUUCCAAAUUGGUUAUGCAAUAUGAGUCAACUUCGCGGUUUUGAUGCAUCUUAUAACAAUUUGAGUGGCUCAAUUCCAAAUUGCUUGAACAAUAUGAGUCAACUUGAAACUUUCGAUGUAUCCUAUAACAAUUUGAGUGGCCCAAUUCCAAAUUGCUUUGGCAAUAUGAGUGCUCUGAUUUGGUUGAUUUUGCAAGGAAAUAACUUCAGUGGAAUGUUACCAAAAUUUUCAAAAGCAACCCACGUAUAUAUUCUGAAAGUUAGUGAGAAUAGAUUGGAAGGGAAGUUGCCCAGAUCAUUAGCUGAAUGCACUCAGCUUGAAGUUUUGGACGUGGGAAACAACAAGAUGAAUGAUACAUUCCCUUUUUGGUUGGAGAAAUUGCCUUACUUGACGGUUCUAAUAUUGCGGGAAAACAGAUUUUAUGGUCAAAUUAAACAUAGAUUUGUUUUCCCAACUUUGGAUGUGUUGGACAUUGCUUCAAACCAGUUUUCUGGUGAACUAUCCAUUGAUUUCCUUCAACCCACUCGACUAAGGUCACUCAAAAUUGGUGGGAAUAAAUUGGAAGGGAAGUUGUCGAGAUCAUUAGCCAAUUGUACAGCACUUGAGGUUCUGGACCUCGGAAAUAAUAUGGUUCAUGAUACAUUCCCAUUUUGGCUAGAGAAGCUACCUUCCUUGAAGGUUCUCGUUUUGCGAGCAAACAGAUUCUACGGCACAAUUUCAAAAAUCGACACGGAGCGUGGGUUUCCAAAGCUACGCAUAUUGGACAUUGGUUCCAAUCAUUUUUCAGGUGACUUGUCCAUUGAAUUUUUGCAGAGUUUGAAGGCAAUGGCGAAGAUGACUAAGGACGAAAAGGUUAAGCGGGUUUACAUUGGGGACGUCUAUUAUAAAGAUUCUGUGACAAUUGUUAACAGGGGGGUUGAACUAUUUUACCAAAAAAUCUUAACUGUUCUUACUUGUCUUGACCUUUCCAACAAUAGUUUCCAUGGGAGAAUACCAGAAGAGAUACAAAUGCUGAGGUCACUCAGAGUGAUGAACUUAUCCAACAAUGGCUUUUCUGGUGAAAUCCCAUUAGCACUUGAAAAUCUAAAAGAUCUUGAAUCUUUGGAUCUCUCACAGAAUGAGCUGUCAGGGAAGAUUCCUGCACAACUUACAAGUUUAACUUUCUUAGCAGCAUUGAAUUUGUCUUACAACCUACUUGAAGGGAGCAUACCGCAAGGCAACCAAUUCAGUACAUUUUCAAAUGAUUCUUACCGUGGGAAUCCAAAAUUAUGCGGUCCACCAUUGUCCAAGAAAUGCAAUGAAGUUGGUCUUCCAAAGCCACCACCUCUAGGGGAAGAUGAAGAUUCAUGGUGAUAUGCUGUGUCUACUUGGAAAAUUGCGUUGAUAGGUUAUGCUAGUGGAUUAGUCGUUGGGCUAUGUAUUGGAUAUACAGUGCUGAAUGAGUUGGGAAACAAAUGGGUUGACAAGUUCAAAAAGUGUGGGAAAAGAAAUAGGAGGAGAUGUAGGUGACUCCAUCAGAAUUCUUGCUUCAAAAUUAGCUGGUAAGCAUUUGUCUUUCUAAUUUGAACAGAUAGUUGUUGAUAUAUAUAUAGGUUUUCAUAACCUCAUUUUUUGCUGUCUUUACCAAGUUCACUAUCAUACCGUACUUGUAAUUUUAUGUUACCAUUGAGGUACAUGAAUAAUCUAGGCAGUGAUCCUAACAAUGAUCCUAACAGCUGAGGAGAUUUGAUGGCUUGAUGCUGAUGAAAGCUUUUUCUGAUGGACAUUGGACUGAUUGUGUCAAGAGAUGCAGAUGUUGCUACUCCCACCCUUUGCUCUUCCAAAGAGACAUUAGCUUUAUAUUUUAUCAAUCACGUGUUGGGGUUUAGGAUCGGGUGUAAAGGGUGGACCUAUUGGUCCGGGUUUUAGUUCAACCCGACACUUAUUUUUAUACUAGUUUAUUUAUAGUUUCAGUGAUAGUUUUAUUAAUUUUAAAAAUAUAGUUGAAUUAGAUAAUAAUAUGAUAAAAAUAAAAAUAAAAAUAAAAAUUGUCACAGGGGCCUUUCAGUUUCGACGCAUCUUCUAACAAUUUGAGUGGCCCAAUUCCAAAUUGGUUAUGCAAAAUGAGUCGACUCGGCCGUUUUGAUGUAUCUUAUAACAGUUUGAGUGGCCCAAUUCCGAAUUGCUUGGGCAAUAUGAGUGCUCUCUAUUCGUUGGAUCUGCAAGGAAAUAACUUCAGUGGAAUGAUGCCAAAAUUUUCAAAAGCAACCCAACUGUCGUUUCUCAAAGUUAGUGAGAAUAGAUUGGAAGGGAAGUUGCCCAGAUCAUUAGCUGAAUGCACUCAGCUUGAAGUUUUGGACGUGGGAAGCAACAAGAUGAAUGAUACAUUCCCUUUUUGGUUGGAGAAAUUGCCUUACUUGACGGUUCUAAUAUUGCGGGAAAACAGAUUUUAUGGUCAAAUUAAACAUUUCAAACAUAAAUCUGUUUUCCCAACUUUGGAUGUAUUGGACAUUGCUUCAAACCAGUUUUCUGGUGAACUAUCCAUUGAUUUCCUUCAACCCACUCGACUAAGGUCACUCAAAAUAGGUGGGAAUAAAUUGGAAGGGAAGCUGUCGAGAUCAUUAGCCAAUUGCACAGCACUUGAGGUUCUGGACCUUGGAAAUAAUAUGGUUCAUGAUACAUUCCCAUUUUGGUUAGAGAAGCUACCUUCCUUGAAGGUUCUCGUUUUGCGAGCAAACAGAUUCUACGGCACAAUUUCAAAAAUUGACACGAAACGUGGGUUUCCAAAGCUACGCAUAUUGGACAUUGCUUCCAACAAUUUUUCAGGUGACUUGUCUAUUGAAUUUUUGCAGAGUUUGAAGGCAAUGGCGGAGAUGACUAAUGAUGAAAAGGCUACGCUGGAUUAUAUCGGAGAGAAUUAUUAUCAAGACUCUGUGACAAUUGUUAACAGAGGGAUUGAAAUGUUGUACCAAAAAGUCUUGACAAUUCUUACUUGUCUUGACCUUUCCAACAAUAGUUUCCAUGGGAGAAUACCAGAAGAGAUACAAAUGCUGAGGUCACUCAGAGUGAUAAACUUAUCCAACAAUGGCUUUUCUGGUGAAAUCCCAUUAGCACUUGAAAAUCUAAAAGAUCUUGAAUCUUUGGAUCUCUCACAGAAUGAGCUGUCAGGGAAGAUUCCUGCACAACUUACAAGUUUAACUUUCCUGGCAGCAUUGAACUUGUCAUGCAACCAACUUGAAGGGAGCAUACCACAAAGCAACCAAUUCAUUACAUUUACAAAUGAUUCCUACCGUGGGAACCCAAAAUUGUGUGGGCUGCCAUUGUCAAGGAAAUGCAAUGAAGUUAGUCUUCCAAUGCCACCACCUCCAGGGGAAGGUGAAGAUUCAUGGUUAAAUGCUCUGUCUACUUGGAAAAUUGCGUUGAUAGGUUAUGCUAGUGGAUUAAUCGUUGGGCUAUGUAUUGGAUAUACAGCGCUGAAUGAGUUGGGAAACAAAUGGGUUGACAAGUUCAAAAAGUGUGGGAAAAGAAAUAGAAGAAGAUGUAGGUGACUCCGUCAGAAUUUUUGCUUCAAAAUUAGCUGGUAAGCAUUUGUCUUUCUAAUUUGAACAGAUAGUUGUUGAUAUAUAUAUGUAUAUAUAUAGGUUUUCAUAACCUCAUUUUUUGUUGUCAUUACCAACUUCACUAUCAUAUCGUACUUGUAAUUUGAUGUUACCAUUGAGCAAUGCAGGAGGUACUUGAAGUAGGAAAUGGAAUGUACAGUUGUGAGGUUCAUGAAGAAUGUAGGCAAUGAUCCUAACAAGAUCAAUCCACUGGUUUGUAGUUUUGCUUUAUAUGCACUUUUUUCCUGUUGUAGUUUUCUAUGAGUAUAAAUAAGUGUUUAUUCAUUUUGCAUCCAGGUCCCUGUGGAUUUGGGGGAUGCAAUGUUUCACUGCUACUGAAUUUCCAUGCUAAUAAUGAUAUUAUAAACAAGGAAAUGUCUGCCCAAGCUUUCUUUUAUAUGCAAUUCACUUCAAUUUUUUUAUCUUCAGAAUAUUUGUACAGCUGAGGAGAUUUGAUGGCAUGAUGUUGGUGAAAGCCAUAUUUGACGGACAUUGGACUGAUUGUGUAAAGAGACGCAGAUGCUGCUACUCCCAUCCUUUGCUCUUCCAAACAGACAUGAGUUUUAUAUUUUAUGAAUCACGUGUUGGGCUUUAGGACCGGGUGUAAAGGGUGGACCUGUUGGUCCGGGUUUUAGUUCAGCCCGUCACUUAUUUUUAUACUAGUUUAUUUAUACUUUCAAGGAUAGUUUUAUUAAUUUUAAAAAUAUGGUUGAAUUAAGUAAUAAUAUGAUAAAAAUAAUAAAAAUAAUAAAAAUUUUAUCAAAUAAAUUAUUUCUUAAAAUCUAGUAUGCUUUCCAAUGUUAGCCAAAGGCCAACAAUAUCUCACACUAAUAUUUUCUUUGUUAGUCCAAAAUUAAAAAUUUCAAAUUAGGAUGUAACUUAUAGUUUGAGGGCUUAAUCAAAAUUUUUUUUAAAAAUUUAGAAAUCAAUUUAAAAUUUAAUCCAUAAUUUAAGGAAUUAACCUUUUGGUAAAUCCUAACAUAUUCAGAAGUUCCAUACUCAUUAAUAAAGAGUGAACCUGUUGGUCUAGGUUUUAUGUUAAUUUUAUCACGAAAUUUUAAUUUUAUUUCAUUUUAGUCCCGUGAGAAACGGUGCGCAUAAGGGCAAGGUAUAUUCUCCUAUUCGGUCCCUAUUCUUUUUAGCAUGUUAUAUUUUAAUUCUUAUUAGCCUUUUUUAUUUACAAUUUAUACUCCUUAAUUUUAUUCCGAUUUCAAUAUGAUCCUUAGUUUAUUUAACUUCAAUUUUUUUUACAAACUGUUUCAUUUAUUAUUUAUUUAUUUAUUUUCAAUUUUUAAUAAAAUGUUUUAUUGGUAGUCACCUUUUUAUUUAUUUAUUUACUUAUUGCUUCCUUUGUUUUUUAUUUUUAAUUGGCUUGCUUUUUGUAUUUUCCUUUUAUUGUGCAUUUUUUGGCGGCACUUACCACAAAGCGCCGCAAAUAGUAAGCAUUAGCGGCGUUUUGAAAUAAGUGCCACUAACUCUAAUAUACGUCAAGGCCAAACUCUGCGUUUUGGUUAGGAUACUUUGCGGCGCUUUCCACAAGCGCCGCUACUACUAUAGUUUAGCGGCGUUUUCCAAUAAGCGCCACUAAUUCUAAUAUACCUCAAGACCAAACUCCGCGUUUUGGUUAAGAUAUUUUGAGGCGCUUACAACCAAACGCUGCUAUUACUAUGCUUUAGUGGCGUUUUCCUUAAACGCCACUAAUUAUAAUAUACAUCAAGACCAAAACGCUGCGUUUUGGUUAAGAUGUUUUGCGGCAUUUAACGCUCAGCGCCGCUAAUACUAUACAUUAGCGGCGUUUUCUUUAUAAGCACCACUAAUUGUAAUAUACAUCAACACCAAACUCUGCGUUUUGGUUAACAUCUUUUGCGGCGCUUCCGCUAAGCGUCGCUAAUACUAUGCAUUACCGGCGUUUGUUCGUAAGCGCCACUAAUUCUAAUAUACAUCAAGACCAGAACACUGCGUGUUGGUCUUGAGAUUCUACGGCACUGUGUGGUAAACGCCACUAAUGAUGUUUUUUUUAUGGCGUUUGUUCGGGAAACGCCACUAUUCAUCCGACUUUUUGCGGCGUUUUAAAAGAAGCGCCGCUAAUGCUAGAUCUUUAGCGGCGUUGUAUUCUUUGCGCCACUAAUGCUCGAUUUUUAGCGGCGUUUGUAAUCCAAACGCCACAAAAUAUGCCGCUAAAAGCCUGUUCUGGUGUAGUGUUAGAGUUGAGCCCAUAAUUUGGGGUGUUGGAUUUAAUUAAACCCGUUGGUAGAUCAUAGCAUAUUUAUAAGUUGGGAUUUAGGAGUACUCAUUUAUUUUUGAUGAUUUUUAUGAGUGUUACAUAACAUCCUUUAUGUAUAUAUAUUUGAAGUUGUUUGAGUUUGAUAUUUAAUCAUUAGAAUUAAAAAUCCAAUUCUCUACUAAUAAAUCAAACAAUUGUUUUUUUUAGUGUUAUUUUUGAGCUCUUAUGUAUUUGUAUUUUACCUAUGUUUAUAGUGUUGACUGGUCAAAAUUAUAGGGUAUAUAAAAAACAUUAUUGUGUAAAAUUGUUUGAUUUAAAUUAAAAAAUAAAUAUGUCAAAUUAAAAUUUUAUUAUAGUAUAAUUAAUAUUUGAAAUCAUAAAUAUUAGAAAACUGUUUCAAAGCAAAAUAAUAAAAAAUUAUUAUAGUCUUUACAUAAUAUAAAUUUUAGAAUUUUUAUGAAUAUUUUAACUUUAAAAAUAUUUUAAUAUAUUUUUGUAAUUUUUGUUGAGAGAGAAUAUUAAUUUGUUAAUUUUUAAAAUUGACAAGAAUCAAAGGAGUAAAUAUAUCAAUCUGUUAUUUGAAUUAUUCGAAUUAUUUAAAUUAUAAAAUUCAACUCGAACCUCGAAUUAUAACUAUUUUUAAUAUUAUAAAAUAUUAAAAUAUUAAAAUUAAAUAAUAAUUAAAUAAUAAUAUAGAAAUGAAAAUAUUUCUCAAGCUUUAAGAAAGUUUGAAAGCUGAAAUUUAAAAAUGUAUCUUUCAAAAGUGAAAAAUUCUAUAUAUUCUAUCAUCAAAAUUUCCACUUAUUGUGUCCAUCAAUCUAUAAGGUGACUUGACUUGUACACAUUGGUUAAACAUUAUUUUUGUGCAAUAAAAACUUGGACAUUUGCAUGCAAUGCCAAAGACUUAAUACCUAAAUUAAAAGGCCUAUAAUAUUUCAUACUACAAUUUUUUCUGGUCCUAAAUUAAAGAUUUUAAAAUUUUCAAAUUAAAACCAUUAUGAUUUAAAAUUAUUAUAGUUUUUACAAAAUAUAAAUUUGAGAAUUUUUAUGAAUAUUUUGAUUUUAAAAAUUAUUUAAAAUUUUAUUUGAAAACUUUUGUUGAGAGAGAUCAAUUUGUUAAUUUUUAAAAUUGACAGGGACCAAAGGAGCAUGUACAUCAAUUUAUUGUUUGAAGUAUUUGAGUUAUUUAAAUUGUAAAAUUCAACUCGAAACUCGAAUUAUAAAAAUAUUUAUUAAUAUAAAACAUAAAACAUAAAAAUUAAAUAUUAAAAAAAUGACAUCAAUAAUAUAUUAUUCUCUAAUAAUAUAUUAAAACGCAAAUUAAAUGUGAAUUUAACAACUUAUUUCUAAUACUAACAACAAAUAAUUUAUGCUAUAAAUUAUUUAUUAUUAGUAUUAUUAUUAUUAUUAUCCCUUGCUGGAAAAGGUUAACCAAAAAGACUUAACUAAAGUGGUGGAACAUUAUUUUGAUGCAGUAUUGACUGGGCAAAAAGACUUGGAAAUUGCAUGCUAUGCCAAACAUGAAAACUACACAUUUGUGUAUAAAUAAGUUGUAUGCCAAGCACAAUCCUUCUUCACACCCAACAAACAUGAACACUCUUCAUUUCCUUAUUUCACUCUUCCUCUUCUCAUGCUUCCUUUCUCUUGUCUUGUCUUUUUCACCUCCUCAAUCUCAUCUCCCUAAGCAAUGCCUUGAUGACCAGAGAGCUCCUCUCCUGCAAUUGCAGCAUCAUCUUUACUAUGCCCCUCAUUUUACUUUCUCUUCCGAAUUUGACCUCUGGGAUGUCAACACUGAUUGUUGCUCUUGGGAAGGAGUCACUUGUGAUGCUUAUGGUCAUGUCGUUGGCAUUGAUCUUAGUUACAAAAACCUUUCAGGCAGCUUUCACCCCAUAUUCAAUCUCCAUCGUCUUCAACGCCUUAAUCUUGCUGGAAACAACUUUAAUACCACUCUGUUUUCCUAUGGGUUUGAUAAACUCCAAAAUCUAACUCAUCUCAACCUUUCAAGCUCAUGUUUCCAUGGCCAAAUUCCAAUGAACAUCUCACACCUAACAAGGUUAGUCUCUCUGAACCUAUCUUAUCAAGAUGAUUGCUAUUGGAGAAAUGGUUACGAUUAUAACUCAGCUACUUUAAAAUUGGAGAAACCAAACUUCAAGACAUUUAUCAAGAAUUUGAAGUUUCUCACGGAGCUUUAUUUGGAUGGUGUCGACAUUUCAACUCAAAGUACUAAAUGGUGUGAAACCACAUCUCUUGUACUUCCAAACCUGCAUGUGUUGAGUCUGUCAAGCUGUGGUUUGAAAGGUCCAUUAUGUUCUUCACUCUCAAGACUCUCUUUUCUUUCCAAACUUAUCCUUGAUUGGAACCCAAUCUCUUAUUUACCUCCCAAUUUCUUGGAAAUUUCCUCUCGUUUGGUUUCUCUCAGUUUGAGGAACUGCAAUUUGAGUGGCCAUUUUCCAACUGAAAAUCUCUUAUCGCCAAAAAUGCAAAGCAUUGACAUUUCAGAUAAUGACCAACUUAUGGGUCAGUUGCCAGAAUUUUCAUCAAACAAUUCUUUACAGAGUUUGUCGCUUUCUUAUACAAAUUUCAGUGAAAAACUACCCCAAUCAAUUGGUAACCUCAAGUUCCUGACAAAUUUAGAGCUUGAUGAUUGCAAUUUUUUUGGACCCAUUCCAUCGUCAAUUGCAAAUCUUAGUCACCUGGUCAACCUAUAUCUAGGAGGGAACAAGCUUUCUGGAUCAAUACAUUCUUCUUUAUUUACUCUUCCAUCGUUGAAGAUCUUGUAUCUUGGAGAAAAUCAAUUGGUUGGGAAAAUUGAUGAGUUCCCCAAUGCAUCUUCUUCUUUGAUUCAAGAAUUAUAUAUAGGCAAUAAUUAUUUAAAAGGAACAAUCCCAAAAUCAAUCCUUCAACUUCCAAGGCUUGAAUGGCUUUAUAUCCGAGACAAUAGCUUCAGUUCCAUGAAGCUUGACAUGUUUGUCCAACUCAAGAACUUAAAGGGUCUCUACUUAUCCAACGUAAGCUUGUUAAUUGACAGCGACAACGGAAGUCUUACUUUUCCCCAAUUAGAGAGCCUAGGGCUAAAGUCAUGCAACCUUACUGAAUUUCCAGAAUUCAUUAAAAGGCAAGACAAGUUGGUUGACUUAUAUCUUUCUAGCAAUCAUAUCCAUGGUGUUGUGCCCAAUUUGUUGUGGAAGAGCAGUCUUUCAUGGGUAGACCUUUCUUUCAAUAUGAUUGAUUUUCCAAAACAGCUUCCCUUAAAUGAUGCUAACUUCUCAUUUCCAAUGUUGAAAGUAUUGCAUUUGAGGUCUUGUAACAUAAGUGCGUUUCCAGAGUUCAUCAAAAC